rnacentral:rRNA from 1 species
UGGGGAAUUUUGGACAAUGGGCGAAAGCCUGAUCCAGCCAUGCCGCGUGAGUGAAGAAGGCCUUCGGGUUGUAAAGCUCUUUUAGUCGGAAAGAAAGAGUUGCAAUGAAUAAUUGUGAUUUAUGACGGUACCGACAGAAAAAGCACCGGCUAACUACGUGCCAGCAGCCGCGGUAAUACGUAGGUUGCGAGCGUUAAUCGGAAUUACUGGGCGUAAAGGGUGCGCAGGCGGUCUUGCAAGUCAGAUGUGAAAGCCCCGGGCUUAACCUGGGAAUUGCGUUUGAAACUACAAGACUAGAGGGCAGCAGAGGGGAGUUGAAUUCCAUGUGUAGCAGUGAAAUGCGUAGAGAUGUGGAAGAACACCGAUGGCGAAGGCAGCUCCCUGGGUUGACACUGACGCUCAUGCACGAAAGCGUGGGGAGCAAACA